GUUAUCUAACCAUUCUCUCUCCCUCAUAUUUCCCUUAGAUCCUCUCUCCUAUCUCCUUCCUUCCUUCGUCUCUUAACCCUAGCUGCAACUCCCUCUCAUUAUUUCUCCAUCUCUCUCUGCUACCUCUCCCCCUCUUUCUGUCUCUCUGCUACAUCUCCCUUUCCCUAUCCCUCGACGCUAACUCAAGCCAACAUGAUUCAUACUCGGCGAAACCCACCCAUUCGCCCUCAGCGAAAUCCAUCGUCAGGCAAAGAGAAUGGACCACCUUUGAGAUCUCCUGGGAAAUAGAAAUCGAUUGCUUACUGUCGGCAUUACAAGAAUGAGUUAUUUCCCAUUCUCUCUUCCCCUCUAGAAUUCUCUACUCCACUUGCUGCUACAUCAACACUCUCUGACUCACGCAAAUACCUGAGAUUCUCUACAAUCUCUUCACCCACAGACCAACUCUGAUUCAACGACAGCCCCUCAACCACUGAGAUGACGAAGUCCUCCUUCACCUCUUCUUCAUCUGCUGCUUCUAUUUUGGGUAUAGAGAGAAGAUCAAAUGUAGUGAAUAACAGAAGAGGAAGAGGACCUUGCAUUUGUGCCUUGGUGCAGAUCUCAGGGAUGUUGUUUGUUGUGUUGAAUCUGAUGGGGCUGCUGUUUGGAAGGAUUAUCACUGUUUUUUAAAUCAUGAUUUGUAAUAACUAUAUAAUUAAGCACAAUAGGAUUGUAUUUCUUUGAGAAUCAUGUUCUGUAAUAAUUAUUAUUGCUUGCAGCUUC